UUCAGGAAUCUGAACUGGAGAAUGUUCGAACUCAAAUUCAGUCUCAAACCCUCCAAAUUGAGUAGUUCGCCACAUGGUGGUCUUUCGAGUAGUCCUCCUGUGGGCUCCAUGCCAAAAUCUUUCCCACCUUUUCAGCAUCCAAGUAACCAACUUUUAGAAGAAAACGGUUUCCAACAGCAGAAGUACGUGAAAUAUCAUAAA